CCUACGGGUGGCAGCAGUGAGGAAUAUUGGUCAAUGGGCGAGAGUCUGAACCAGCCAAGUCGCGUGAGGGAGUACUGCCCUAUGGGUUGUAAACCUCUUUUGUCGGGGAGCAAAAGCCGGACGUGUCCGGCUGUGAGAGUACCCGAAGAAAAAGCAUCGGCUAACACCGUGCAAGCAGCCGCGGUAAUACGGAGGAUGGGAGCGUUAUCCGGAUUUAUUGGGUUUAAAGGGUGCGUAGGCGGGCUUUUAAGUAGGCGGGAAGAAUUCGGGGCUAAACACCGGCCGGCCGUUGAAACUGGGGGCCUUGAGUGGGCGAGAAGAAGGCGGAAUGCGUGGUGUAGCGGUGAAAUGCAUAGAUAUCACGAGGAACCCCGAUUGCGAAGGCAGCCUUCCGGCGCCCUACUGACGCUGAGGCACGAAAGUGCGGGGAUCGAACAGGAUUAGAUACCCCAGUAGUC
rnacentral:rRNA from 1 species